ACGCUCGUAGUCGGAUUUCGGGGCGGGCUGCUCGGUCUGCCGAUGGGUAUGCACUGGGUGGCGCGUCCUUCCUUCCGGAGACCGCGCCUUCUCUUAACUGAGCGGGCGCGGGAGACGGAACGUUUACUUUGAAAAAAUCAGAGUGUUUCAAGCAGGCAUCUCGCUCUUGCAUGGAUUAGCAUGGGAUAAUGAAAUAGGACUUUGGUGCUAUUUUGUUGGUUUCGAACACCGAAGUAAUGAUUAACAGGGACAGUCAGGGGCACUCGUAUUCCGUCGAGAGAGGUGAAAUUCUCAGACCAACGGAAGACGAACCACUGCGAAAGCAUUUGCCAGGGAUGUUUUCACUGAUCAAGAACGAAAGUUAGGGGAUCGAAGACGAUCAGAUACCGUCGUAGUCUUAACCAUAAACCAUGCCGACUAGGGAUUCGAGGGUGUUCCAUCUGUGACCCCUUGAGCACCUUUCGGGAAACUAAAGUCUUUGGGUUCCGGGGGGAGUAUGGUCGCAAGGCUGAAACUUAAAGGAAUUGACGGAAGGGCACCACCAGGAGUGGAGCCUGCGGCUUAAUUUGACUCAACACGGGGGAACUUACCCGGUCCAGACAUUGUGAGGAUUGACAGAUUGAGAGCUCUUUCUUGAUUCAAUGGGUGGUGGUGCAUGGCCGUUCUUAGUUGGUGGAGUGAUUUGUCUGGUUAAUUCCGUUAACGAGCGAG
rnacentral:rRNA from 1 species